UCUGCCUGGUAGUGGGGGACAACGUUUCGAAAGGAACGCUAAUACCGCAUACGUCCUACGGGAGAAAGCAGGGGACCUUCGGGCCUUGCGCUAUCAGAUGAGCCUAGGUCGGAUUAGCUAGUUGGUGGGGUAAUGGCUCACCAAGGCGACGAUCCGUAACUGGUCUGAGAGGAUGAUCAGUCACACUGGAACUGAGACACGGUCCAGACUCCUACGGGAGGCAGCAGUGGGGAAUAUUGGACAAUGGGCGAAAGCCUGAUCCAGCCAUGCCGCGUGUGUGAAGAAGGUCUUCGGAUUGUAAAGCACUUUAAGUUGGGAGGAAGGGCAGUAAGCUAAUACCUUGCUGUUUUGACGUUACCGACAGAAUAAGCACCGGCUAACUCUGUGCCAGCAGCCGCGGUAAUACAGAGGGUGCAAGCGUUAAUCGGAAUUACUGGGCGUAAAGCGCGCGUAGGUGGUUUGUUAAGUUGGAUGUGAAAGCCCCGGGCUCAACCUGGGAACUGCAUCCAAAACUGGCAAGCUAGAGUACGGUAGAGGGUGGUGGAAUUUCCUGUGUAGCGGUGAAAUGCGUAGAUAUAGGAAGGAACACCA
rnacentral:rRNA from 1 species